AUGGUUUACAAUUUCCACUAGGUAGCAUAAAAAGAAUAGAUAGGAACAAAAACAAGAAUACAUAUUUACAUUAUCAAAUCCAUGAAGAUUUAAGUCGGUCAAGCUCCAGGAAGAGCUGUUCUCGCAAGUGCUCUCCUCAGCCUCCAUAAAUACAUACGAGCUUCUCUUCUUUCAACUCCCACACCAACAUUCUCAGAGGAUUUUCCUUCUCUUUUUCAGUUGGUUUAUUUAGCAAACCUGCUUAGUGGUGUUCGUUUUGUUUCAGAAAUUUAAGUAUAGAAGAAUCUGUUAAGCUCAGGAGGGAUAGCGCCGCACAUGAUCUUCAAGUUUUUCUAAUAUGUAAAUCUGAUCCUCGCUAGUGCUAUCCAUCCUGAGUUCCAUGGGUUCUUCUUGCUCUCACGUUGCUUGCUCCGUCGAAUCGAACAACAAAAAUCUCAUGCAAGUGAUCAGAUCAUUCAAGCAAAAGUGAAGACGUCAGCAGCAGCAUAGGGCGCCCAGGUCAAGUAAAAUGUUUCCAAGUCCAGAAGAUAUAUUAUUAUUGUUAUCAUUCUUCUUUUUGUUUCCAUUUUGCAGCAUGUGCAUCAAUAGUUGUAAGCAAUCAUAUAUGGUUAUGCCUCUGUUACGAUGGUCCGUGUUUGUUGUUUGUAUCUGGAAUUGAGCAAAGUAUCAAAGGGUAUAGGGCCUAAGUUUGUCUCGGA